rnacentral:rRNA from 1 species
AGCUCCAAUAGCGUAUAUUAAAGUUGUUGCAGUUAGAACGCUCGUAGUCGGAUUUCGGGUCGGGUCGACCGGUCUGCCGAUGGGUACGCACUGGUCGACGCGGCCUUCCUUCCGGAGACCAUGCCUACUCUUAACUGAGCGGGCGUGGGAGACGGAACGUUUACUUUGAAAAAUCAGAGUGUUUCAAGCAGGCAGCUCGCUCUUGCAUGGAUUAGCAUGGGAUAAUGAAAUAGGACUUUGGUGCUAUUUUGUUGGUUUCGAACACCGAAGUAAUGAUUAACAGGGACAGUCAGGGGCACUCGUAUUCCGCCG